rnacentral:rRNA from 1 species
UGGGGAAUAUUGCACAAUGGGGGAAACCCUGAUGCAGCGACGCCGCGUGAACGAAGAAGGUAUUCGUAUCGUAAAGUUCUGUCCUAUGGGAAGAUAAUGAGAGUACCAUAGAAGAAAGCUCCGGCUAAAUACGUGCCAGCAGCCGCGGUAAUACGUAUGGAGCGAGCGUUGUCCGGAAUUAUUGGGCGUAAAGGGUACGCAGGCGGUUUAAUAAGUCGAAUGUUAAAGAUCGGGGCUCAACCCCGUAAAGCAUUGGAAACUGAUAAACUUGAGUAGUGGAGAGGAAAGUGGAAUUCCUAGUGUAGUGGUGAAAUACGUAGAUAUUAGGAGGAAUACCAGUAGCGAAGGCGACUUUCUGGACACAAACUGACGCUGAGGUACGAAAGCGUGGGGAGCAAACAGG